UACGGAGGGUGCAAGCGUUGUCCGGAUUUAUUGGGCUUAAAGGGUGCGUAGGCGGUUUGGUAAGUCAGUGGUGAAAGUUUGCAGCUCAACUGUAAAAUUGCCAUUGAUACUGUCAGUCUUGAGUGCAGUCGAGGUGGUUGGAAUGCGUAGUGUAGCGGUGAAAUGCUUAGAUAUUACGCAGAACACCAAUAGCGAAGGCAGAUCGCCAGGCUGUAACUGACGCUGAGGCACGAAAGUGUGGGGAUCGAACAGG
rnacentral:rRNA from 1 species